UACGUAGGGGGCAAGCGUUGUCCGGAAUUAUUGGGCGUAAAGAGCGCGUAGGCGGUCCGGUAAGUCGGUUGUGAAAGUCGGGGGCUCAACCCUCGGAUGCCGAUCGAUACUGUCGGGCUAGAGUCCGGAAGAGGCGAGUGGAAUUCCUGGUGUAGCGGUGAAAUGCGCAGAUAUCAGGAGGAACACCGGUGGCGAAGGCGGGUCUCUGGGCCGAUACUGACGCUGAGGUGCGAAAGCGUGGGGAGCAAACAGG
rnacentral:rRNA from 1 species